ensembl:Mt_tRNA
GCUCCUGUAGUAUAGCACAAAUACGGUGGCCUUGUAAGCCACUAACGAAGACCAACCUUCCAAGAGCA